rnacentral:rRNA from 1 species
GCUAGCUACAGGCUUAACACAUGCAAGUCGAGGGGCAGCAUGGUCUUAGCUUGCUAAGGCCGAUGGCGACCGGCGCACGGGUGAGUAACACGUAUCCAACCUGCCGUCUACUCUUGGACAGCCUUCUGAAAGGAAGAUUAAUACAAGAUGGCAUCAUGAGUCCGCAUGUUUACAUGAUUAAAGGUAUUCCGGUAGACGAUGGGGAUGCGUUCCAUUAGAUAGUAGGCGGGGUAACGGCCCACCUAGUCUUCGAUGGAUAGGGGUUCUGAGAGGAAGGUCCCCCACAUUGGAACUGAGACACGGUCCAAACUCCUACGGGAGGCAGCAGUGAGGAAUAUUGGUCAAUGGGCGAGAGCCUGAACCAGCCAAGUAGCGUGAAGGAUGACUGCCCUAUGGGUUGUAAACUUCUUUUAUAAAGGAAUAAAGUCGGGUAUGGAUACCCGUUUGCAUGUACUUUAUGAAUAAGGAUCGGCUAACUCCGUGCCAGCAGCCGCGGUAAUACGGAGGAUCCGAGCGUUAUCCGGAUUUAUUGGGUUUAAAGGGAGCGUAGAUGGAUGUUUAAGUCAGUUGUGAAAGUUUGCGGCUCAACCGUAAAAUUGCAGUUGAUACUGGAUAUCUUGAGUGCAGUUGAGGCAGGCGGAAUUCGUGGUGUAGCGGUGAAAUGCUUAGAUAUCACGAAGAACUCCGAUUGCGAAGGCAGCCUGCUAAGCUGCAACUGACAUUGAGGCUCGAAAGUGUGGGUAUCAAACAGGAUUAGAUACCCCUGGUAGUCCACACCGGUAAACGAUGAAUACUCGCUGUUUGCGAUAUACUGCAAGCGGCCAAGCGAAAGCGUUAAGUAUUCCACCUGGGGAGUACGCCGGCAACGGUGAAACUCAAAGGAAUUGACGGGGGCCCGCACAAGCGGAGGAACAUGUGGUUUAAUUCGAUGAUACGCGAGGAACCUUACCCGGGCUUAAAUUGCAGAUGAAUUACGGUGAAAGCCGUAAGCCGCAAGGCAUCUGUGAAGGUGCUGCAUGGUUGUCGUCAGCUCGUGCCGUGAGGUGUCGGCUUAAGUGCCAUAACGAGCGCAACCCUUGUUGUCAGUUACUAACAGGUUCCGCUGAGGACUCUGACAAGACUGCCAUCGUAAGAUGUGAGGAAGGUGGGGAUGACGUCAAAUCAGCACGGCCCUUACGUCCGGGGCUACACACGUGUUACAAUGGGGGGUACAGAGGGCCGCUACCACGCGAGUGGAUGCCAAUCCCCAAAACCUCUCUCAGUUCGGACUGGAGUCUGCAACCCGACUCCACGAAGCUGGAUUCGCUAGUAAUCGCGCAUCAGCCACGGCGCGGUGAAUACGUUCCCGGGCCUUGUACACACCGCCCGUCAAGCCAUGGGAGCCGGGGGUACCUGAAGUGCGCAACCGCAAGGAGCGCCCUAGGGUAAAACUGGUGACUGGGGC